GUCUUAGUAGUUUAUACAAAACAUUAGUCUUGUAAACUAGAAAAGAACCCAUCCUAAGAUU
rnacentral:tRNA from 1 species